GGGGGACAACCAUCCGAAAGGAUGGCUAAUGCCGCAUGAGUUCUACGGAAGAAAGAGGGGGACCUGCCUGCAGGCCUCCCGCGAGCGGAGCGGCCGAUGACUGAUUAGCCGGUUGGUGAGGUAACGGCUCACCAAAGCAACGAUCAGUAGCUGGUCUGAGAGGACGACCAGCCACACUGGGACUGAGACGCGGCCCAGACUCCUACGGGAGGCAGCAGUGGGGAAUUUUGGACAAUGGGCGCAAGCCUGAUCCAGCUAUUCCGCGUGUGGGAUGACGGCCCUCGGGUUGUAAACCACUUUAGUAGAGAACGAAAAGGAGCUAUCGAAUAAAUAGCUCUGCUGACGGUACUCUAAGAAUAAGCACCGGCUAACUACGUGCCAGCAGCCGCGGUAAUACGUAGGGUGCGAGCGUUAAUCGGAAUUACUGGGCGUAAAGGGUGUGCAGGCGGCUGAGUAAGACAGAUGUGAAAUCCCCGGGCUUAACCUGGGAACCGCAUAUGUGACUGCUUGGCUAGAGUGCGUCAGAGGGAGGUGGAAUUCCACGUGUAGCAGUGAAAUGCGUAGAUAUGUGGAAGAACACCGAUGGCGAAGGCAGCCUCCUGGGACGCAACUGACGCUCAUACACGAAAGCGUGGGGAGCAAACAGGAUUAGAUACCCUGGUAGUCCACGCCCUAAACGAUGUCAACUAGUUGUUGGGGAUUAAAAUUCUCAGUAACGCAGCCAACG
rnacentral:rRNA from 1 species